CUCUGAGCUGUUUGUAUUCGCGUCAGCGUGCACCUGUAUGUCUCAGGACGCACUGGUCUCUCACUCCAACUGGUUGUUCGGGAAUGCCGUCCUGUUCGCAGCUCGUCAGCAGGAGAGAAGCAGAACUGGACCCGCCAGACUCAAAAUAACAAACACUCAGAGCAGAGGAAUUGUGUUUGGAGAGUUUCUGCCUCCAUUUUGAGACAAAAGAGAUCUGAGGAGCAAAGCUGGGAUGAGGGACUUACACAACAAGCAGACUUGUGUGGACAAGGGUGGCAGUAUGAACUUCUGUACAGGAUGGAAUCAGUAACCAUGUUCCCACCGGUUUCUUGAUUUAUGCGAAAGCACUGGCCUACACUACACCUCGAGCCUGACUCCUGAUCUGAUUCCAGAGGAUGUCUGACCAUCACACCCAGCACGUGCCCCACUGGUAUGUUGACAUUUUAUAAUACUUUCAGUUUCCCGUCUGUUAGCUUGCUUUCACUGUAGUUUCUAAUCAGCAAUAUAUGAUGCGUACCUGAUUCUUUUUUCCACAGUGCAUGCUUUUUUUUUGACGGUAUUCGCUGAUCACACCGAAUAUUUUUUUUGAGUUUGUGGCAGGUAGCAAGGUCAAGGCUAACAGAUAUUGUACAAACGAUGGAAAUGCAUUUAUCCGAUAAUCGCACAGUAAGAAAUUUUAAAACUACCCAUUUUAUUUUUAAAAUCAAAACUGGUGUCAUAUUUUUGGUGCUGCACAGAUGCAAUUUAAUAUGGUUCCACAGUCUCCGUCUUGUUUUAUAAUAUUUGCGCAGAGAUCUCAGAUUUCUUGUAAAAUCAGCUUUUGUAUUGUAACUCUGUUGGAGACUGUGGUUAUACUCGGUCCUUUUGCUAAGAAAACACAUUGUCUUGCAAUAGUCUUACGACAUUUUAUUCAUAUUGUGUUAAUUCAUGUAAAAAAAACAUACUGCCUGAAAUGGCAUUUUAUACAGCACAAAUGUAUUUUUUUAUAAAUUCAAAUCACCCUCGAGAAGCAGCAUUUUGCUUUUACUUUUGUCCAGAUUUGAAACGAUGUACAGUACAUUAUUUUCUGACAUUUCAAAAAUAAAUGGUGACCUCAAAGGAAUGUGAUCAGUAGGUUACAC